rnacentral:rRNA from 1 species
AGGGAAUUGCAUGGGCGCAAGCCUGAUCCGCAAUGCCGCGUGCAGGAAGAAGGGCCUUCGGGUUGUAAACUGCUUUUGUCAGGGAAGAAAUCUUCUGGGCUAAUAUCCCGGGAGGAUGACGGUACCUGAAGAAUAAGCACCGGCUAACUACGUGCCAGCAGCCGCGGUAAUACGUAGGGUGCGAGCGUUAAUCGGAAUUACUGGGCGUAAAGCGUGCGCAGGCGGCUUUGCAAGACAGAGGUGAAAUCCCCGGGCUCAACCUGGGAACUGCCUUUGUGACUGCAAGGCUAGAGUACGGCAGAGGGGGAUGGAAUUCCGCGUGUAGCAGUGAAAUGCGUAGAUAUGCGGAGGAACACCGAUGGCGAAGGCAAUCCCCUGGGCCUGUACUGACGCUCAUGCACGAAAGCGUG